rnacentral:lncRNA from 1 species
AUGAGGGGAGAUAAAGCACACAGAGGGAGAGACUGGUACCUGGGGCAGAUAAAAAGGUGGUAUGACAAGGGGGAUUAUUAUUACCCCCCUACGGAAGCCUGCGGCCUAAAUGACCUCCAACAGGACGCCACAGAGGAAAAAUCAUACGAUAAUAAACACUAUGAGUUUUCUAUAAAAAUGCCCAAUAUGGGAAAUCCUAAUAUUUCGCAAUGGUUUAACCACUCCAAUAAAAACAUAGGUAUCACAAUAUGGUUAGACAGCUUUACUUUAGCCAUGAAUGAGACCCUAGGUCAAGAUUCGGGCAACAACCAUACCGGUUGCAAAGGUAACCGUGAAGGAGACCUGGAUAGACAGGGUAAAGACAUCAACUCGAGUUAUUUCAGUUCCAUAAAAAACAUCAUAGGAGCAUGUACGUACACCCCGGGAAUCAGGAGUUACCCCGCCGUGGGAGGAGGACGCCUGUGGAAUUUACAAGCAUUAAAGGCCACUAAAAAGGCCACCGCUCGAGACCUCUCAGAUGUGGGAAAGAUCUGUGGGGCAUUUAUGCAAUAUCAAAUGGCCGCACUGAUGACGGGGGAAAUCAAUGCCUCAAGCCCUAUACGAUCAGCAAUCACUCUACCUCACAUCCAAGCCUCGAGCCACUCAGCAGGGGAGGACACCCAACUUGAUUACUGGCUGUGGGUGGAUCCCUGUGAUCACACCCAAAGUGUUGGACUUACAGAAAUCAGGAUGGUAGGCCUGAAACAUGGGUUCUACUCCCGGGCUAAAAGCCAUUAUAACCCCCUGGACUACUAUUGCUAUUAUGCUAAGUUACACUACACAGUAGCCCAUAGAUGGACCGGAGCAGGAAGAGAGUGGGAAAAAGCCUUCGAAAAGAGAUCUGUAACGAUAACUAACGAUUCUAUUUUUGUUCACAGGAAUAAGAGGAUUCCCAUAGAUAGCACUAUGGCGUGGUCAAGGAAAAAUGGAAAGAAUGUAAAAAAAAAACAAGCCCCCUAUACCUGGUGGAUGGGUGUUCAGUCCUAUGCAGCAGUACCCAAACACGGGUAUUAUGCGGCACUCAGCCCGACACCCCAUGCGAGCCCCACCCCCCGAUACCCCAACAUAGUACAGGACAGUGAUGCGUACCCUUCGCUUGACCCUCUAUUCCUCAUGCAUGGGGGAAGGAUGACUAAAUAUUGUGGGGAGGACGGUUAUACUAGUCAUUACAUAGCAUCAGAUCUAUUGGGGAGUAAAGGCUCGAAAGCCACGCAGGACACGGCUCCCAGAGGAAAUAGAUGGGUAAACGAUAUCAGAGAACAAGAAGGAGUAUAUUGUUCCAAUACUGUGCCAGGGGUCAUCAAUCAUUGGGCAAAUAUGGCUAGAAAAAAGUACAAAUAUGUCCGCCAACGGUGGGGGCUGUAA